AGUGGUGGCGAUAGCGAAGAGAUACACCUGUAACCAUGCCGAAUACAGAAGUUAAACUACUUGGCGCCGGUUGCAGUGAGGUUGCCCCUUGUGAGAGUAGGACGUCGCCACGC
rnacentral:rRNA from 1 species